GCUGGCGGUGCGCCUUAUGCAUGCAAGUCGAGCGAAGCUUUUCAGUAGUUUACUACAGAAAAUGACUGAGCGGCGAACGGGUGAGUAACGCGUGAGCAAUCUACCAUAGUUACAGGGAUAGCCCGAGGAAACUCGGAUUAAUACCUGAUAUUCUUUAUUUCUCGCAUGAGAAUAAAAGGAAAGGUCAGCCGAACUAAGAUGAGCUCGCGUUCUAUCAGCUAGUUGGUGAGGUAAAAGCUUACCAAGGCCACGACGGAUAGCUGGUCUGAGAGGACGAUCAGCCACACUGGGACUGAGACACGGCCCAGACUCCUACGGGAGGCUGCAGCAGGGAAUAUUGUGCAAUGAACGAAAGUUUGACACAGCGACACCGCGUGUGGGAUGACGGAUCUAGGUUUGUAAACCACUUUCAGGAGGGAAGAAAAUGACGGUACCUCCACAAGAAGCCCCGGCCAACUACGUGCCAGCAGCCGCGGUAAUACGUAGGGGGCGAGCGUUGUCCGGAUUUAUUGGGCGUAAAGAGCUCGUAGGCGGUUCAACAAGUCGGUCGUGAAAGUUCAGGGCUCAACCCUGAAAUGUCGAUCGAUACUGUUGUGACUAGGAUACGGUAGAGGUGAGUGGAAUUCC
rnacentral:rRNA from 1 species